UACGUAGGGCGCAAGCGUUGUCCGGAAUUAUUGGGCGUAAAGAGCUCGUAGGCGGCUUGUCACGUCUGCUGUGAAAUCCCGGGGCUCAACCCCGGGCGUGCAGUGGAUACGGGCUGGCUAGAGGCAGGCAGGGGAGACUGGAAUUUACGGUGUAGCAGUGAAAUGCGUAGAUAUCGGAAGGAAGACCAGUGGCGAAGGCGAGUCUCUGGACAGCAACUGACGCUGAGGCACGAAGGCCAGGGGAGCAAACGGG
rnacentral:rRNA from 1 species